AGAGUUUGAUCCUGGCUCAGGACGAAUGCUGGCGGUGCGCCUAAUGCAUGCAAGUCGAGCGAAGCUUCUAAAUAGUUUACUAUUUAGAAUGACUGAGCGGCGAACGGGUGAGUAACGCGUGAACAAUCUACCCUAAUUAUCAGGACAGCUCAAGGAAACUUGAAUUAAUACUGAAUAAACUUUUAAAUUCACAUGAAUUAUAAAGCAAAGGUCAGCCGAAUUGGGAUGAGUUCGCGUUCUAUCAGCUAGUUGGUAAGGUAAAAGCUUACCAAGGCUACGACGGAUAGCUGGUCUGAGAGGACGAUCAGCCACACUGGGACUGAGACACGGCCCAGACUCCUACGGGAGGCUGCAGCAGGGAAUCUUGCGCAAUGAGCGAAAGCUUGACGCAGCGACACCGCGUGUGGGAUGACGGAUCUAGGUUUGUAAACCACUUUCAGGAGGGAAGAAAAUGACGGUACCUCCACAAGAAGCCCCGGCUAACUAUGUGCCAGCAGCCGCGGUAAUACAUAGGGGCAAGCAUUGUCCGGAAUUAUUGGGCGUAAAGAGCUCGUAGGCGGUUCAACAAGUUGUUCGUGAAAGUUUAGUGCUUAACUCUAAAGUGUCGAUCGAUACUGUUGUGACUAGAAUACGGUAGAGGUAAGUGGAAUUCAAAGUGUAGCGGUGAAAUGCGUAGAUAUUUUGAGGAACACCAAAGGCGAAGGCAGCUUACUGGGCCGCUAUUGACGCUGAGGAGCGAAAGCUAGGGGAGCAAACAGGAUUAGAUACCCU
rnacentral:rRNA from 1 species